GGCAUAGAGUUCAGUGCAGGCCUUGAACUCAUGACCUUGAGUUCAAUACCUGAGCUGAGAUCAGUAGUCAGAUGCUUAACCAACUGAGCCACCUGGGAACCCCUUUUCUUAUUAAUAUAAUAUGUUGACAAAGAAAUUCUGAUUUACAUAAUUUCAUAAGUGUGGCAGUAUGCAUUUGGAUCCCUACUUUAUGAUAUACUAAGUAUACUCCAGAGGGAAAAAGAACUUAAUUGUGAAAGGCAAAAUUAUAUAAGUAUUAGAAGAACAUAUAGGAUACAACAUUUAUGUUCACAGGAUGGAGGAUUUUCUUUAAAAGGAAGAAAAAGUGUUAGCCAAAAGGAAAAGUUUAAUAAAUUUGACUAUUAAAAUUAAGAACUUCAGUCCAUUAAAAAAAGUAAACAAUAAGACAAAAGCUAGGAGAAAAUGUUGAAGACAUGUAAAUACAAAGGAAAAAAUAUCUAGGUUACAUGGGGAAAAAAGUUUGUUUGAAAUGUGAGUAAAAAGAAUUUCGCAGAAGAGAAAACACUAAUGGCCAAUAUACACAGGAAAAGAUGCCUGACUCAUUUAGCAAUUAAUGAAAUGCUAAUUAAAAUCACAGUGAGAUACCAUUUUACACAUAGUAUGUGAUCCAAACUUACAAAAUCUGGUAACAUUAAUUGUUGGCGGAGAACAAAGCAAGGGAAACACUGAAAUACUACUAGUUUCAUAAAACAUUUGUUGGAAGUAAAGGGUAUGAGAGAAAAUGAAAGACAAAAAUAUAUUAAGAAUCACAUUGAAGUUGAAGCAAAAGAGAUGGUCAUGCCUCGCAAUCACAACACUUAAAGGUUUGGAGAGAAGUAACUAUUGAGCAGAAGGAAUUGGAAGCAUUAGCAUUCUGAAGUGUUCUGAUAAGAGGUCAUAUUAGGUGGAGGAGCUGGAAUCAGAAUAUAAGGGCUUUGAACCAUUUGCACAAGACUUGGGGAGAGGGAUCAAACAGAACAAUAGAGUUGACUAAUAGGGCAUCUUCUAUGCCCUAUUCUACAUCUAUAAAGCCAUGGUAAUGAAUUAGAAAAGCAACUGCUAGAGGACAUUAUAACUUUAAUACUGAAAUUAAGAGUUCAGAUUUAUAAUUACACAUUAAAUAAAUUACACAAAAGUUUCA
rnacentral:lncRNA from 1 species